rnacentral:rRNA from 1 species
CAGAGGGUGCGAACGUUGCUCGGAAUUACUGGGCGUAAAGCGCGUGUAGGCGGGUCGGCAAGUCAGGCGUGAAAUCCCCAGGCUCAACCUGGGAACUGCGCUUGAAACUGCCGGUCUUGAGUAUCGGAGAGGGUGGCGGAAUUCCUGGUGUAGAGGUGAAAUUCGUAGAUAUCAGGAGGAACACCGGUGGCGAAGGCGGCCACCUGGACGAUUACUGACGCUGAGACGCGAAAGCGUGGGGAGCAAACAGGAUUAGAUACCCUGGUAGUCCACGCCGUAAACGAUGGGUGCUAGGUGACUCGGGUAUUGACCCCUGAGGUGCCGUAGCUAACGCGUUAAGCACCCCGCCUGGGAAGUACGGCCGCAAGGCUA